UUAUCGUAUGAAACAUAAGAAGGUGAGUGUUCCCCUUGAUAAGGAUGAAAGAGGCCCUAGUGGACGUACAACAUGUAUGCGGUGAAGGCAUGGCAUCUAACCAUGUUUU
ensembl:snRNA